rnacentral:piRNA from 1 species
UNGGCUUGACGGUGCUUAUGCUUAGACAU